rnacentral:rRNA from 1 species
CCCUUAGAUGUUCUGGGCUGCACGCGCGCUACACUGAAGCGUUCAACGAGUAUUCACCUUGCCCGGGAGGGUUGGGUAAUCUUUUGAAAACGCUUCGUGAUGGGAAUAGAGUUUUGCAACUAUUAGUCUUGAACGAGGAAUUCCUCGUAAGCACGAGUCAUCAGCUUGUGCUGAUUACGUCCCUGCCCUUUGUACACACCGCCCGUCGCUCCUACCGAUUGGGUGCUCCGGUGAAUUGUUUGGACUGCUGUCAGUCUUUUUGGCUGUCGGCGAGAAGCUCUGUGAACCUUAGCACCUAGAGGAAGGAGAAGUCGUAACA